rnacentral:lncRNA from 1 species
GUUUAUAUUUAAAGAUGGUGUCUUAAAAGUCUGUCAUAAAUCUUUUUAUGAUUGGUGCAUACAGUGCAAAUUAUUUAAUGUUUUAUAUCAAUCUAUGUGAAUCUAAGGCCGUGUUCACAUUGACCUAAACUCGGUGUUAUGUUAGUGUAACUCACACAUAAACUAAACAUAAUUACGUUCCCAUUGAUAAAACUCAAUGUUUACGACAUGUAGUUUAAAUCAUGUUUUGCCUACAUGCAGUCGAUAGUCGAUGUAGGCCUUGUGUAGGUUCAGUGUACACCAAACUAGGCAUUCCGAACUGUAUUUUUUCCACUUAUACGUAAAAAAGAAACGAUUUUUAUAUAAAAUUGAUACUUAUAACACUUAUUAAUAAAGUUCUUUACAGAAAUAUUUGUCUGAACUUGAUAUAUUUAUUUGUUAUAAAACACUUUACGUAGCCUUAUUAGCCCCUUGUCAAGACUCAUCCAUCAUCUUUGCCGAACACAUAAUUUAUUAGAAAAAGUCUUCCCAUAUCGACUGGACGUACACAUUUGACAGAAAUAUUUGCCACUGGUAUUUAUUCAAACAACGAUUCACUCAUUAAUGCAUUACUGAAAAAGGGUGAGGUUACUUGUUUGUUUGUGUAGAAUCUCAGAUCCGUUAAAAUACAAUUAGAAAUAAAAAAAAAUAUCAUCCUCUUCUUUUGUCAAAGAAAAACUUGUAGAAAAAUUACCAUUUGAAACAAACAGAAAAGAUAGAAAUGUACUGAUCCUUAAAAUCGCAAUUCUUUUUCUCUGUCUAUAAGCAAGCUGGUACAGCCUUUUUUAAUGCGUAGUCGAGACAUCUUUAAACUACUGCAAAUCAU